rnacentral:rRNA from 1 species
GACGAACGCUGGCGGCGUGCCUAACACAUGCAAGUCGAACGAAGCACUGCGGAUGGAGACUUCGGUCAACUGAAGCUUUGACUUAGUGGCGGACGGGUGAGUAACGCGUGAGGAACCUGCCUUUCAGUGGGGGACAACAGUUGGAAACGACUGCUAAUACCGCAUAAUGUAUCGAGAGGGCAUCCUCUUGAUACCAAAGCUUUAUGUGCUGAAAGAUGGUCUCGCGUCUGAUUAGCUUGUUGGCGGGGUAACGGCCCACCAAGGCGACGAUCAGUAGCCGGUCUGAGAGGAUGAACGGCCACAUUGGGACUGAGAUACGGCCCAGACUCCUACGGGAGGCAGCAGUGGGGAAUAUUGGGCAAUGGGGGAAACCCUGACCCAGCAACGCCGCGUGAAGGAAGAAGGCUUUCGGGUUGUAAACUUCUUUUAGCAGGGACGAAGGACGUGACGGUACCUGCAGAAAAGCAACGGCUAACUACGUG